AGCGCACACAAGAAAUGGGGCCUGCGGCUUAAUUUGACUCAACACGGUGCAACUCACCCGGCCCGGACACAGGAAGGAUUGACAGAUUAAGAGCUCUUUCUUGAUUCUGUGACAGGUGGUGCAUGGCCGUUUCUAGUUGGUGGAGUGAUUUGUCUGCUUUAUUGCGAUAACGAGCGAGACUCUAGCCUACUAAAUAGACUCGGUAUCAUUUUACCGUACCGAGUUCUUCUUAGAGGGACAAGCGGUGUUCAGCCGCACGAAACAGAGCA
rnacentral:rRNA from 1 species